AGGAGGUUGGCUUAGAAGCAGCCACCCUUUAAAGAAAGCGUAAUAGCUCACUAGUCGAGUCGGCCUGCGCGGAAGAUGUAACGGGGCUAAACGUAUAACCGAAGCUGCGGAUGCGUGCUUGCACGCAUGGUAGAGGAGCGUUCUGUACGCCUGCGAAGGUGAACUGAGAAGUUUGCUGGAGGUAUCAGAAGUGCGAAUGCUGACAUGAGUAACGAUAAAGGGGGUGAGAGGCCCCCUCGCCGAAAAUCCAAGGUUUCCUGCUCAACGCUAAUCGGAGCAGGGUUAGCCGGCCCCUAAGACGAGCCCGAAGGGGGUAGUCGAUGGGAACCACGUAAAUAUUCGUGGGCCUGAAGAUGUGUGACGGAUCGUGGAAGUUGUUCGACCUUAUUGGAUUGGUCGGGCAGCCAAGCGGUUCCAGGAAAUAGCCUCUUCAAUAUAGACCGUACCCGAAACCGACACAGGUGGUC
rnacentral:rRNA from 1 species